UGUUACAUUGCCUUUGUUCCACGGCCGUUGUCUGGUCCAAUUCCAUCGCCUGUGCUCCACUGCUCCCUCUCCCUCAACUCGAGGCUAUUUCAAUAGUAAAUAAUGCAUGCUGGGCUAUUGGAGAACUUGCAGUUAAGGGACUCAACAAGUCACUAAUAGUGGGAAUAAAGAGGGAAGAGAGGA